GACGAACGCUGGCGGCGUGCUUAACACAUGCAAGUCGAACGGAAAGGCCCUGCUUGCAGGGUACUCGAGUGGCGAACGGGUGAGUAACACGUGGGUGAUCUGCCCUGCACUUCGGGAUAAGCCUGGGAAACUGGGUCUAAUACCGGAUAGGAGCCAUUUUUAGUGUGAUGGUUGGAAAGUUUUUCGGUGUAGGAUGAGCUCGCGGCCUAUCAGCUUGUUGGUGGGGUAAUGGCCUACCAAGGCGGCGACGGGUAGCCGGCCUGAGAGGGUGGACGGCCACAUUGGGACUGAGAUACGGCCCAGACUCCUACGGGAGGCAGCAGUGGGGAAUAUUGCACAAUGGGCGCAAGCCUGAUGCAGCGACGCCGCGUGGGGGAUGACGGCCUCGGUUGGUAACGUACCUUCGUCUAGGACGAAGCGUUUUGUUGUACGGUACCGUACGAUAAGAAGACA
rnacentral:rRNA from 1 species